rnacentral:lncRNA from 1 species
AUUUUUAUCAGCAAGUACGCGGGUAUCUUCUGUCUGUUUUCAAUUGGGUUUUAUCUUCAUGGAUCAUAAGGUAAGAAUCUCAUUUUCAGUAGAUAAUCAUUUGUCAGUGUUAUUCAUUCUUUCAGUACCCAAACACACACUGGAUUAUUAUGUAUAAAGGUACGUGGUCAUUUAUUAGUGUUAUUUUAGUAUGAACAACCUGCUUUUAUUAGAUUAUUCAGUUAUCAAGGACACUAGUCAGCCUUUAUCUAGUCAUUUGUCAGGUUUAAUAGAAAAAACUGGAUGGUCAUUUGUGCCAAUGCUCAGUCGAAAACCAUGUCAUGCUCCCAUCAUUUUUGUUAGCAUCAGAUUUUGCAUCUGUUCUUAAAUCAAGUUUUUGAGUUGUUUAUAUUUUUCCCUACGGGAAAUCUGCGAGACUAUCACUAACACUAGUUAUGUACACAAGUGCUAUUUUGUACAGAAUUUGAAAGUCAAAUUCACUUAUGUUUUCUUCACUUCUCUUUUUUGACUUAUUUUACGUGCCCUUCAUAAAAUUUGUCAAUAAACUAGUUACUUCACUAAGAAAUGUCCCN